rnacentral:rRNA from 1 species
CCUACGGGUGGCUGCAGUGGGGAAUAUUGGGCAAUGGGCGCAAGCCUGACCCAGCAACGCCGCGUGAAGGAAGAAGGCUUUCGGGUUGUAAACUUCUUUUGACAGGGAAGAGUAGAAGACGGUACCUGUCGAAUAAGCCACGGCUAACUACGUGCCAGCAGCCGCGGUAAUACGUAGGUGGCAAGCGUUGUCCGGAUUUACUGGGUGUAAAGGGCGUGUAGCCGGGUUGACAAGUCAGAUGUGAAAUCCUGCGGCUUAACCGCAGAACUGCAUUUGAAACUGUUGAUCUUGAGUACUGGAGAGGGGGGCAGAAGUCCUGGGGUAGCGGUGAAAUGCGUAGAGAUGAGGAGGAAUACCAGUGGCGAAGGCGGUCUGCUGGACAGCGACUGACGGUGAGGCGCGAAAGCGUGGGGAGCAAACAGGAUUAGAGACCCUGGUAGUC